AGUGAACGCUGGCGGUAGGCCUAACACAUGCAAGUCGAACGGCAGCACAGUAAGAGCUUGCUCUUACGGGUGGCGAGUGGCGGACGGGUGAGGAAUACAUCGGAAUCUACUUUUUCGUGGGGGAUAACGUAGGGAAACUUACGCUAAUACCGCAUACGACCUACGGGUGAAAGCAGGGGAUCUUCGGACCUUGCGCGAUUGAAUGAGCCGAUGUCGGAUUAGCUAGUUGGCGGGGUAAAGGCCCACCAAGGCGACGAUCCGUAGCUGGUCUGAGAGGAUGAUCCGCCACACUGGAACUGGGACCCGGCCCAGACCCCUACGGGGGGCAGCAGGGGGGAAUUUUGGAAAAUGGGCGCAAGCCUAACCCAGCCAUCCCGCGUGGGUGAAGAAGGCCUUCGGGUUGUAAAGCCCUUUUGUUGGGAAAAAAAAGCAGCAGGUUAAUACCCCGCUGUUCUGGCGGUACCCAAAGAAUAAGCCCCGGCUAACUUCGU
rnacentral:rRNA from 1 species